ACCACUCGCCUCAGGGAGGUCCCGUUCUGUGCUGUCAAAUCACCCAGAGUGCAAGCUGACACUAAUUGACUGCUUACCAUGGGCCAGACGCUGUUCCAGACACUUUACAUGUAUUCAUCCAUUUACUCCUCACAAAACCUAAAGCAGGUGUUGUGUUAUCAUCUCACUGUUAAUCGGGCACUGAGACAGUAAGUGACUUGCCCAGGAUCCCUCUGGUUCUUGAGUCAGGUUCUCAGAGAUCCCUCAAGUCUCAAGGACUUGAAACAGGCAGGCUACCCAGACUUCCUCUCUAACAAGCAGCUUACUCCACACACAAGGAAACCAAGGCCCGAAGAGGAGAAGUGACUUGCCCAAUGCCACACAGAAAAGUGGCAAGGCUGGAACUAGACCCCAGCCAACACCCCCACUGAAACAUCCAGCUGCCCUCUUUGGCUGUGUGGAUGCCUCUCACACAUAUUCCAAGACAUGAAGUGAGAACCAUUUUCUGGCAUCUGGAAACUUCCUGUUUGUAAGGACCACCCAAUAGACCUACAAGGAACCAUGGAGACAGUGAUUUAAGGAAAGAAACAAAAUGAACUCCAGAUCAGAGAGCUGGGGGACAUUUCAGUAUCAGUGGCAUUGGGAAUGAGUUUCUUUAAGUUAAAAAUUUAUAUUUUAGUAACCAGAAAUUUCCCAUGUCUAUCGGAUGGAGUUUUACCAAUUUUCAAGGAAUCAGAAAAUGAUCAAGAUAACUACAUUUGAUACUGAACAAUGCUGAAUACUGAGUGAGGUUUUGUGGCUGUGGGUCAUUGCCAUACACAUCAGUUAGCGUGGAACCACUGGUGAGCAGAGGCCUCCAUUCUCCACCUGGACUUGCAGCCAUGGCAUGACAGCCUGGAACAGAACACCCAGUGUGAACAUCAGGAACCAGAAGAUGCUUGGUAGCACACAUCAGAAAUGGCAGGAGAACCCUUGCUGGGUGUCAGAGCCCAAGCGACUGUGCACAGAGUGCUUGAUCAUGAAGUUACUCUGGUGCCCCAGCCAGAAUUCCCACACCUUAAAAAAGCAAUUGCAAGUGCUGCAACAGACCUCUUCGUGGAAAAGCAAACCUCACAAAUAAAAUCUGGGUUUGAAAAUAAAAUGCCUGACCUAAUUUGAUGGUGACUGCCUUCCAGGUUGGUUUGUGUGGGGGCACUGGGAUGUCGGGGCUCUGGUUCUUAUUAGAAUUCUCCUGUGCUCUCAGGAUGGGCAAACCUGGCUCAUUGCAGGCCGGACCCACAGCAGGGCUGGGAAAGGGCCCUCAACUGGGAGUCAGGGACCUCAAAUGUACCAACCAGCAGUGGCACAUCACGUCUCCGUGAUUCAGGUAUGAAAUAAGGGCAAGAAGAUCUUACA
rnacentral:lncRNA from 10 species